UUUGUGUGAAAUGAUCGGUCAAC
rnacentral:snRNA from 1 species